rnacentral:rRNA from 1 species
UUUGAUCCUGGCUCAGGACGAACGCUGGCGGCGUGCCUAAUACAUGCAAGUCGAGCGAACCACUUCGGUGGUUAGCGGCGGACGGGUGAGUAACACGUGGGCAACCUGCCUGUAAGACUGGGAUAACUUCGGGAAACCGGAGCUAAUACCGGAUAAUCCUUUUCCUCUCAUGAGGAAAAGCUGAAAGWCGGUUUCGGCUGWCACUUACAGAUGGGCCCGCGGCGCAUUAGCUAGUUGGUGAGGUAACGGCUCACCAAGGCGACGAUGCGUAGCCGACCUGAGAGGGUGAUCGGCCACACUGGGACUGAGACACGGCCCAGACUCCUACGGGAGGCAGCAGUAGGGAAUCUUCCACAAUGGACGAAAGUCUGAUGGAGCAACGCCGCGUGAGCGAUGAAGGCCUUCGGGUCGUAAA